rnacentral:rRNA from 1 species
AGAGUUUGAUCCUGGCUCAGGAUGAACGCUGGCGGCGUGCCUAAUACAUGCAAGUCGAGCGAACAGACGAGGAGCUUGCUCCUCUGACGUUAGCGGCGGACGGGUGAGUAACACGUGGAUAACCUACCUAUAAGACUGGGAUAACUUCGGGAAACCGGAGCUAAUACCGGAUAAUAUAUUGAACCGCAUGGUUCAAUAGUGAAAGACGGUUUUGCUGUCACUUAUAGAUGGAUCCGCGCCGCAUUAGCUAGUUGGUAAGGUAACGGCUUACCAAGGCGACGAUGCGUAGCCGACCUGAGAGGGUGAUCGGCCACACUGGAACUGAGACACGGUCCAGACUCCUACGGGAGGCAGCAGUAGGGAAUCUUCCGCAAUGGGCGAAAGCCUGACGGAGCAGCGCCGCGUGAGUGAUGAAGGUCUUCGGAUCGUAAAACUCUGUUAUUAGGGAAGAACAAAUGUGUAAGUAACUAUGCACGUCUUGACGGUACCUAAUCAGAAAGCCACGGCUAACUACGUGCCAGCAGCCGCGGUAAUACGUAGGUGGCAAGCGUUAUCCGGAAUUAUUGGGCGUAAAGCGCGCGUAGGCGGUUUUUUAAGUCUGAUGUGAAAGCCCACGGCUCAACCGUGGAGGGUCAUUGGAAACUGGAAAACUUGAGUGCAGAAGAGGAAAGUGGAAUUCCAUGUGUAGCGGUGAAAUGCGCAGAGAUAUGGAGGAACACCAGUGGCGAAGGCGACUUUCUGGUCUGUAACUGACGCUGAUGUGCGAAAGCGUGGGGAUCAAACAGGAUUAGAUACCCUGGUAGUCCACGCCGUAAACGAUGAGUGCUAAGUGUUAGGGGGUUUCCGCCCCUUAGUGCUGCAGCUAACGCAUUAAGCACUCCGCCUGGGGAGUACGACCGCAAGGUUGAAACUCAAAGGAAUUGACGG